AGAGUUUGAUCCUGGCUCAGGAUGAACGCUAGCUACAGGCUUAACACAUGCAAGUCGAGGGGAAACGACAUCGAAAGCUUGCUUUCGAUGGGCGUCGACCGGCGCACGGGUGAGUAACGCGUAUCCAACCUGCCCAUCACUUGGGGAUAACCUUGCGAAAGUAAGACUAAUACCCAAUGACGUCUCUAGAAGACAUCUGAAGGAGAUUAAAGAUUUAUCGGUGAUGGAUGGGGAUGCGUCUGAUUAGCUUGUUGGCGGGGUAACGGCCCACCAAGGCGACGAUCAGUAGGGGUUCUGAGAGGAAGGUCCCCCACAUUGGAACUGAGACACGGUCCAAACUCCUACGGGAGGCAGCAGUGAGGAAUAUUGGUCAAUGGGCGAGAGCCUGAACCAGCCAAGUAGCGUGCAGGAUGACGGCCCUAUGGGUUGUAAACUGCUUUUAUAAGGGAAUAAAGUGAGCCUCGUGAGGCUUUUUGCAUGUACCUUAUGAAUAAGGACCGGCUAAUUCCGUGCCAGCAGCCGCGGUAAUACGGAAGGUCCGGGCGUUAUCCGGAUUUAUUGGGUUUAAAGGGAGCGUAGGCCGGAGAUUAAGCGUGUUGUGAAAUGUAGACGCUCAACGUCUGCACUGCAGCGCGAACUGGUUUCCUUGAGUACGCACAAAGUGGGCGGAAUUCGUGGUGUAGCGGUGAAAUGCUUAGAUAUCACGAAGAACUCCGAUUGCGAAGGCAGCUCACUGGAGCGCAACUGACGCUGAAGCUCGAAAGUGCGGGUAUCGAACAGGAUUAGAUACCCUGGUAGUCCGCACGGUAAACGAUGGAUGCCCGCUGUUGGUCUGAAUAGGUCAGCGGCCAAGCGAAAGCAUUAAGCAUCCCACCUGGGGAGUACGCCGGCAACGGUGAAACUCAAAGGAAUUGACG
rnacentral:rRNA from 1 species